UACAGAGGGGGCAAGCGUUGUUCGGAAUUACUGGGCGUAAAGGGCGCGUAGGCGGCCUUCUAAGUCGAACGUGAAAUCCCUGGGCUCAACCCAGGAACUGCGUCCGAUACUGGAAGGCUUGAAUCCGGGAGAGGGAUGCGGAAUUCCAGGUGUAGCGGUGAAAUGCGCAGAUAUCAGGAGGAACACCGGUGGCGAAGGCGGGUCCCUGGGCCGAUACUGACGCUGAGGAGCGAAAGCAUGGGGAGCGAACAGG
rnacentral:rRNA from 1 species